AACGAACGCUGGCGGCAUGCCUAACACAUGCAAGUCGAACGAGACCCUCGGGUCUAGUGGCGCACGGGUGCGUAACGCGUGGGAAUCUGCCCUUGGGUGCGGAAUAACAGUUAGAAAUGACUGCUAAUACCGCAUAAUGACUCCGGUCCAAAGAUUUAUCGCCCAGGGAUGAGCCCGCGUCGGAUUAGCUAGUUGGUAGGGUAAAAGCCUACCAAGGCAACGAUCCGUAGCUGGUCUGAGAGGAUGAUCAGCCACACUGGGACUGAGACACGGCCCAGACUCCUACGGGAGGCAGCAGUGGGGAAUAUUGGACAAUGGGCGAAAGCCUGAUCCAGCAAUGCCGCGUGAGUGAUGAAGGCCUUAGGGUUGUAAAGCUCUUUUACCCGGGAUGAUAAUGACAGUACCGGGAGAAUAAGCCCCGGCUAACUCCGUGCCAGCCGCCGCAGUAA
rnacentral:rRNA from 1 species